rnacentral:rRNA from 1 species
AGUGAACGCUGGCGGUAGGCCUAACACAUGCAAGUCGAACGGCAGCACAGUAAGAGCCUGCUCUUACGGGUGGCGAGUGGCGGACGGGUGAGGAAUACAUCGGAAUCUACUUUUUCGUGGGGGAUAACGUAGGGAAACUUACGCUAAUACCGCAUACGACCUACGGGUGAAAGCAGGGGAUCUUCGGACCUUGCGCGAUUGAAUGAGCCGAUGUCGGAUUAGCUAGUUGGCGGGGUAAAGGCCCACCAAGGCGACGAUCCGUAGCUGGUCUGAGAGGAUGAUCAGCCACACUGGAACUGAGACACGGUCCAGACCCCUACGGGAGGCAGCAGUGGGGAAUAUUGGACAAUGGGCGCAAGCCUGAUCCAGCCAUACCGCGUGGGUGAAGAAGGCCUUCGGGUUGUAAAGCCCUUUUGUUGGGAAAGAAAAGCAGCAGGUUAAUACCCCGCUGUUCUGACGGUACCCAAAGAAUAAGCACCGGCUAACUUCGUG